rnacentral:rRNA from 1 species
AAAACGACUCUCAGCAACGGAUAUCUCGGCUCUCGCAUCGAUGAAGAACGUAGCAAAAUGCGAUACUUGGUGUGAAUUGCAGAAUCCCGUGAACCAUCGAGUCUUUGAACGCAAGUUGCGCCCGAAGCCAUUAGGCCGAGGGCACGUCUGCCUGGGCGUCACGCAUCGCGUCGCCCCCC